CUACAGGGAUGAUUUCAAGAAUUGAGCUCUCUCUUACUGAUGGAUUAGUGGAGAAAGUAAAAUUUCUGAGUAGC
ensembl:snoRNA SNORD26 Small nucleolar RNA SNORD26